UACGUAGGAUGCAAGCGUUGUCCGGAAUUAUUGGGCGUAAAGCGAACGUAGGCGGCUUGUUAAGUUUGGUCUUAAAGACCGGGGCUCAACCCCGGGAAUGGAUCGAAAACUGGCGAGCUGGAGGAUGUCAGAGGAAAGUGGAAAUUCCGAGUGUAGCGGUGAAAUGCGCAGAUAUCAGGAGGAACACCGAUGGCGAAGGCAGGUCUCUGGGCCACUACUGACGCUGAGAAGCGAAAGCAUGGGGAGCGAACAGG
rnacentral:rRNA from 1 species